GCUCGGGGUCGCACUUCACUCCUCUCCCUGGUCAAACCGGAUUAAGGAAGAAUGAGAAGAGUUACAACCGCUGAUUCCUCGUUGAGAAAACACAGAAAGAGUCCAUAAAAGAGGUCUGAAGUGGGUCCCGUCCUCUCAUCACUACCUGGUUGUUGCUGUUGAGGCUUCAUGGAAACGUCCAAGAGAUGAAGUCAGACCUGAUCCCACAAAUGACACGAAUAAGCCCGUUUCCAUAUGAGCGUGCCCUGCAUAGACGAGCAGACAGGGAGCCAGAUGUGAAUUCCAGAAUAUGCAGCUGCCAUUUUCCUCAUGGAAAAGAGAAAGGGACAUGUUUUUUGAGUGGACUAAGACAAAUGUAAUCAGUUUACCCUCAGUAAAUCAGUCCACUGACCACAGCUACGCCAAAGUGCGUGAGCAUAACAAAUCUGCAGACGAACCGGGACCCUUCUGCGUGCAGUCUGGACCCAAUCGUUGCGAACACCAGGCGGGGGAUGACAGCCUGCAGUCUGGGCCUGUUGCUAGCAAAAGAGGCACAGGCAAAUACUCUGCAGCAUGGCUAACAGAUGAGAUCAUACGAAUGGAAACAGGGCUUCCAGAUAUGCAGGGUUGGUGGAGCGCUUUGAGGGCUCCAUCAUGUAUUUCAGUGGAUGGAAAGUGGAGGGCAUCAAGGCCAUGAAGACUUGGUCUUGAUGGCCUCGAUGAAGAUCUGCCAAGACUGCCCACACCUGCAUCUUGCAUAACUGUUUCCUUGUCGUUCUCCAACAGUCAGUAAUAUGGUGAACACAAUGAUCCAUCUGCUCCUCAAGGUGCUGUUUCAGAGAAUGAUGUCCUAAUUGCCAAAAAAUAAAAAAAGCAUGCCUGCUUCAUUCCAGUCCUCUGCGUUCAACUGGCAAAUGAUUGUGGACUGCACUGACAUCCAUAUAGCCAUCCCCCAGUCAGAUGGACCAAGCAAAGUUGACCUACUCAUACAGAGAUAGGAGAUAGGAGAGGAUCCCCCCGGAGUCUAGACGCUGGCGGUGGUGGAGUGGUGCCAGAAGGUGGUUGAUGGAAACCUUUGGGGCGAGUCUUCCCGGAAAUCAUGGAGGUCAUGGUGGUGAUUGGGAGGAGGUGGGUUGCGCAAUAAUAGGUCUGAAAGACAGAAUGGCAGAACUGCAGUGAUAUUUAAAGAACGGCAUCUAGAGACUGACUGGCUUGAGGAACGCAGGCAGAAAUAUCACUGGUACGGUGAUGUCGUGACAGGUGAAGUGGAUGUGACAGAGCGAAAUAGAACAGGAGGAAAUAGCACAUAUUCACCUGUAGUGAAAUAAAGCCAGAAAGUAAGGGAAUAGAUCUUCAUCCUAUCUGAACUUUCGCCAAAGCUUAAUUUCAAUGAAAGUCGAUAAACAAUCAUAUUAAUUGCACACUAAAAUUAUUUUUCAAUAUUUGCGAGUGAUUAACAGAGUUUGAGACAAAAUUAACUAAAACAUUAAAACUCAUCAAGUUGAAGAUUUAGUGUUUUUGGCCAAAGGCUAGUAGUUUACUUCUGUCUUGAAGACCCGAAAGUAAGGUUUCCAACCCUGAAUGCCAUGUGAGUAAGAUAAUUCAAUCUACUGUGAUUUGUCCGUGUCUUUAUGUUUGUCAUAUUCCUUUAAAGCUAUGAACUUUUAACCCUGUCAAGAAAACAGAUUGUCAUUGCUUGACUGAUGACACUAGUGUUCAUACAUAUAGCCUGUAUGUGGUCUUUUAAACCUCACAAUAUAAUUACCAAAUUCAUGAUCAUAUAUUUUCCAGGGAAUCCUCACUGACUUCUACAUUAUUUAAAACAGUGAUGGUUAAAGAAGAUAAUUACAGUAAACAAAUUAGCUCAGUUAAGAUAAUCAUUUAGCUUUCCUGUGAUAUUGUUGGCAUUGGUGUUAGUGAGCAUUAACACCUCAUAAAUCCUAAAUCAGUCUGUUUUACCCCAGUUAACAGGGUAAACAUGAUUAUUCCAACAACGUUUCCCUUGUUCCAUCUGCCAUUGUGAGCAAAUGCUGAAUGCUCCAUUAGAUCUGGAAGAACGGCACUCUCCUUCUGUUUUACAGUUCAAAGCGUACAACAGAUUUCCUGCAACAUUCAACCAGGUGGCACAUGAAGUGAAAUACCAAGCAGAGGCUGCCAGCCUUGUCUGUGUUUGUUUUGUUGAUGCUCAAGUAGCAUAUUUAAAUGGCAUUUAAACCCAUUGUGUGGUUAUUUUUUCUUUUUAGGUCAGUACUUUGUCAGGUUAAAAUACUGAACAAGUGAGACUGAGAUCCGUCUUUACUAUUUGAUUUAUGUUACCCUGCAAACCAGAUGAAGUUUAAUUGGAAGUUUCCGUAGCUCUGUUUGUUUUAAACUCAGUGCCCCAGACUCAUUACACUCUCCAGUCACUCUAAGGAUCUAUUAUUAAGGCUUACAUUGUUGUCUAUGGCAGAGGUGCAGAAAAACAAUGAUUUGGCAUCAGACUAAGCAGGUUUGAAAAUACCACAGCCAACAACACAAAGCAGAAAAUCAAUACCUAAGCAUGGGACGGUCACGCUGCCCAUUACUAUCUGGUGCUGAUACAGAGUUUUUCCUUAAGUGGUCUAAACCUGGAAUUACAGAAAUAAAAGCCUGAUUGAUUCCUGGCUUGCCACCAAGGGACACAGCAAUAAUGCUCACCGUUUUAAAAUAAGAUGUGUGCUUCUUGACCAAAGUGGCUUUCUGAAUGGAACCCAUAUUUGUUUUCAAGGCAAAGUGUGGCUGUAAUCUCCCUGCAAGCCUGAGACUAAUAGAAUAUAUUAAUCACAUGCUGGAAGUGAAGCACACCUUCAGUUAAAAAUACACACAUACACACACACACACACGCACGCACGCACGCAACAUUUCAUUCUCUAUUCUCCAGGUACAGGCUUCACAUAAAAGACGUGAUUUUUGGCAGGGCCACAACAGCUGGGCCAGUCCUAUAAAUGCCAAAGUCUGUGACUGACUGAGUAACUUCAUCACUCACCUGGGCCAAGUGUCGCCAUUUCCUGUAUCCGUCGUUUCAAAUUAAAAGCCCUCUAGCAUUUCAUACAUGGUCCAGCCACAUACUACGUUUGGACCUAGUCAUGUUUUUCUCCUGGAAGAAAUAGCGAGAGCAGUACACUUUCUGACAAAGAAAGAUAGCGGGCUCCCAGAGUAGCACAUUUUGGUCUGGAUGAGAGGGAUAGUGGUGAUGAGUCUUGUACUUGUGGGUCUUGUUCAAGUUUUGAACUUGGGUUAAUCGUGAGGGAUGAGACUGUUUCCAGUCCGAUCAAAGAGGGCAGAUGUUGUUACUAAAGUACAUUCCUGGAGAAGAUUGCAUCAGACUGACAAAAACAGAUUUAGGUGACAAGAUCAUUUAAUGCGGUUGUGCAUCUACCAUCUCUGCACGGCUCGGUGGGUGAUCUAAUGCAGCGGGGAUCUCAUCUAGAGCUGUACCGUUGUUUGUGGGUAAUACUAAAGGGCGUCAGCCACACUCCAGUGAGCCAUUAAUUCACAUCACACAAAUUAAUCCAAGUGUAGGCCUCUGCCACACACAGAGAGCUCCUCUGCUUUCCCACCAUAUGCGAUAUAUUCCAGCACCGCUGCACACAGCCAUGGUUUGGCACCCAAAUGAACACAAAUGGGAAAGCUAGAGGGGGAAAAAGAGAGAAAAAAAGUUGGACAAACUUGAAAAAAGUCUCAGUUAGAGCUUUAAAUAAUGCAUAGUGCAAGUCAACGUAGACCGUCUAGCCUGAAAGGAGUCAUAAAUACCACACACAUGUCAAACCUUCAUAGUGUAUGCUACUCUGAUCUAGAGUCAGCAACACAGGAUCUGUUGACAGCGUUACAACCCACACAUACUGCACACUUUUUUGCACCACCAAGUUUUUUCUGAUUUAUCUUUAUAGGUUAAAAGGGUUGACAGUAUCUUUUCAGAACAUUGCUUAAAGCAGUAGUUUGACUAUUUGAGAAAUGCGCUUAUUCUGUACAGUAAAUAUGAAGCUACAGUCAGCAGUUGGUUAGCAUAAAUACUGGAAAGCUAGCCUAAAGGUAACAAAAUCCUCCUACCAGCACCUCUAAAGUCCACUAAUUAACAUGUUUAUCUCAUCUGUUUAAUCCGUAUAAAAACCAGUGUUUUAAGUGCCCUCUUACUUCAUUUGGCAAUUUUAUAUCAUUUGAAGUCCUGAGCUUUCUCGUUUCAGGUCCUGUUCCCUUGUUGUGUAUUUUAGUUUAUAUGACUCCAAAGUACAAUAAUUUUAUCACAGAAUUUUCUGAACUUUUGUCUAUUGUUUUAUCCAAGUAUGACAGAGUACUCACUUUCGGUGACUUUAACAUUCAUGUUUGUUGUCCUGCAUAUUCCAUGUCUGGUGAAUUCCUAAAUCUAGUUGAAAGAGCUACACAUUUCAAAGAUCAUACCCUCAACUUGGUACUUUUUUCUGGUCUCUGCUCAGAGAACCUAGAGUUAAUGGACAUCUUUGUAUCUGACCACAACGCUGUUAUUUUUAAAGCACCUCUACCCUCUCCUGUUUUAAAACCCACUCCAUCACAUGGUAUCGCAUUUUUACUGCUGACUCUGUAGCCAAAUCCAGUGAUGCUUUUUCCAAUUGGUCUUUUCCCAUUACAGCAUCUCCACACAAUCCAGAUGAACUAUUAACCUCUUUGAACAGUCACUGUCUUUCCAUUCUUGACCAUAUUGCUCCGCUAAAAAUCAGAAAACCAAAAUCAAUCACUCGCUAAAUGAUCACACUUGACCGUUGAAACGACAGUGCAUUGGAACGCAAAUGGAAGAUAACUAAGUCUACAGUUACCCACAAUACGCUUAAAGGAAUGUAUGACAAACUACCAGAAAGCAGUAAAAGAUGCAAAAGCAGCAUAUUUUUCUGACAUGAUAUCCAAAAACAAUCACAACCUCAAAGUCUUAUUCGGUGUAAUCACUUCUGUUUUCAGUGAUCCAUCCAGGACAGAUCCUGUACCUGAAAAUGAAUGGACAGAGAAAUUCGCUGCUCAUUUUAUUAGGCGGAUAGAGAACAUUCAGUCUUAAAUUUCACCUGAUCCACAAAAUCUACCCACCUACAACAAUAAUCUUGCUUCAUUUUCCCAGUUACAAACCAUUAACAUCUCAGCACUAUAUAAAAUAAUUUCUCAAAUGAAAUCCAUGAAAUAACUGUGGUGUAGAUAUUGUCCAAACGCUCUCAUGCUUAUCCACGUUUUUUAAAGAGGUAUUCCCCUCUGUUGGUCAUUGUAUUCUUUUAAUUAUUAACAUUUCUCGAAUUUCUACGAUUGAUCAGUCCAUACUCCUGCACCGUCUGGAAACCUAGGGACUGCUCUACAUCGACUACAUUCAUACCUCUCCAGUAGGACCUUCUCUGUUGUCAAAGCAAAUGCCUGUUCCUCUGUUUUAAUUGUGGUGUUCCUUGGCCCACUGCUGUUUUCAAUAUACAUGCUUCCUCUCAGCCAGAUCAUUCAGAAACAUAUUAUCUCCCACCACAACACAACACGCAGUUAUAUGUCCCUAUUCAAACCAACAACCCCAGCAGCCCUAAUAAUCUGUUUGCCUGCCUCGGUGAUGUUAAAUGUUGGCUGUCCCAAAACUUUUUAAAAUACAAUGACGAUAAAUCUGAGGUCAUAGUCAUUGGUCCCACAAAGUCUACUGGCCUGCUUCACAGUGAGCUUGGUUCCCUGAUCAAAAACAUUAAGCAAUCCGCUAGAAAUCUUGGAGUUAUUUUUGAUGCAGAUCUCUGUUUUGAUGCCCAUUUGAAAAAUGCUGUCCAGUCAUGCUUCUUUCAACUCAAAAAAAAUCUCAAAAUUCAGAUUGUUUAUGUCUCCUACCGAUUUACAUAAGGUCAUACAUGCAUUUAUUUUCUCCCACCUCGACUACUGCAGUGCACUUUAUGCUGGCAUCAGUCAGAGCUCCCUUCACCAAUUCCAACUGGUACAGAUCGCUACUGCCAGGAUUUUAACUGGCACUAAGAGAUAUGAACAUACUACUCUAGUAUUUGCCAACUUACACUGGCUGCCUGUUACAUUCUGCACUUAUUUUAAAAUUCUACUCAUCACUUUUAAAGCAUUAAAUGGCCUCGCUUCAAAUUACAUCAAGGACUUAUUAACCCCCUAUGUGCCUGAGCGUUCACUUAGAUCCGUGGAUGGGGCUCUGCUGGUUAUUCCUAGGUCUCGGCUAGUGACCAAAGGUGACUGGGCCUUUGCUGUUAGAGCCUCUAAACUGUGGAACAGUCCACCUAUCGAGAUCAGACAGGCAACAUCUUUAGUGUCAUUUUAAUCUCUUCUUAAAACAUUCUUCUAUUGGAAAGCUUUUAUGAAUGUUUGAUAUGUUGCUGUGUUUUAUUAUCCCACUUUUGACAGUUUAUAAUUUUGUCCAACUUCAUUUUAUUCCCCUUUAAUUGCUGUUUUUUAAAUUCUUUUUUUCUUCUCUCUGUUAAGCACUUUGUAAGUGCUUAUUUAGGUGGUAUCAAUCUUCUCACCUGAAUCUUGAACCUGAAA